UGUUAUUAAGUCCACACACAGCAGACUAGCUCUUUGAGUUAGAUUUCUCGAAUAUUGCUCUAGAUUAGGGAUUCUGGGAGGAAGGAAGAAUGAACACCCUCUUGAGCAUCAUAUUAAUGAUCCUGUGGCUUCACCUGGAUUGGGUCAGAAGCCAAGAGGUGUCUCAAAGUCCCGGGUCCUUGACUGUUCAGGAGGGAGAGAGUGUCAGCAUGAACUGCACUUACCAAAACAGUGCCUUCAACUACUUUCCUUGGUACAAGCAAGAAUCCGGGAAAGGGCCAGAACUGCUGAUGGACAUUCGUUCAAAUAGCGAUAAAAAAGAAAACGAGAGAGUCACAAUUCUGCUCAACAAACAAGACCGGCACCUCUCCCUGCACAUCACCAAUGCCCGGCCUGGAGACUCUGGAGCCUACUUCUGUGCAGGAAGCACACAGUGCUCUCCGUGUAUCUGUCACCUGUGCAGAAACCCUCCAGGUGGGGCUCCAGUCUCACCACUUUUCAUCUAA